rnacentral:rRNA from 1 species
UAGUCCUAGCAGUAAACGAUGGAUACUAGGUGUGGGGGGUGUUGACCCCUCCUGUGCCGAAGCUAACGCAUUAAGUAUCCCGCCUGGGGAGUACGGUCGCAAGACUAAAACUCAAAGGAAUUGACGGGACCCGCACAAGCAGCGGAGCGUGUGGUUUAAUUCGAUGCAACGCGAAGAACCUUACCUAGGCUUGACAUACACUCGCAACCCUUUGAAAGAAGGGCCUCCUUCGGGACGGGUGUACAGAUGCUGCAUGGCUGUCGUCAGCUCGUGUCGUGAGAUGUUGGGUUAAG